GAUGAUUAGUUUUCACUUACAAUGAAAAAUACCCCAAGGGCAUCUUUAUACUAUAAGUAGUAAUUUAA
rnacentral:tRNA from 1 species